rnacentral:ncRNA from 2 species
UUAAUAUAUGAGUGGCCUUUAUAGAGUGCAAAAUAUGUAUUUGUAGACGAGGAGGAUAGUGAUCGAAUAGAUCGGCGGAUGCUAUCCCGGAUGUGGCUCAUUCGUUAGCUUAUUAAGUAAAACAUUAGGGUGACUUAAUGGACAAAGUUAAUAAGAUCGCCAGAA